rnacentral:rRNA from 1 species
CAUAGGUUAAUGAGGCGAACCGGGGGAACUGAAACAUCUAAGUACCCCGAGGAAAAGAAAUCAACCGAGAUUCCCCCAGUAGCGGCGAGCGAACGGGGAGCAGCCCAGAGCCUGAAUCAGUGUGUGUGUUAGUGGAAGCGUCUGGAAAGGCGCGCGAUACAGGGUGACAGCCCCGUACACAAAAAUGCACAUGCUGUGAGCUCGAUGAGUAGGGCGGGACACGUGGUAUCCUGUCUGAAUAUGGGGGGACCAUCCUCCAAGGCUAAAUACUCCUGACUGACCGAUAGUGAACCAGUACCGUGAGGGAAAGGCGAAAAGAACCCCGGCGAGGGGAGUGAAAAAGAACCUGAAACCGUGUACGUACAAGCAGUGGGAGCACGCUUAGGCGUGUGACUGCGUACCUUUUGUAUAAUGGGUCAGCGACUUAUAUUCUGUAGCAAGGUUAACCGAAUAGGGGAGCCGAAGGGAAACCGAGUCUUAACUGGGCGUUAAGUUGCAGGGUAUAGACCCGAAACCCGGUGAUCUAGCCAUGGGCAGGUUGAAGGUUGGGUAACACUAACUGGAGGACCGAACCGACUAAUGUUGAAAAAUUAGCGGAUGACUUGUGGCUGGGGGUGAAAGGCCAAUCAAACCGGGAGAUAGCUGGUUCUCCCCGAAAGCUAUUUAGGUAGCGCCUCGUGAAUUCAUCUCCGGGGGUAGAGCACUGUUUCGGCAAGGGGGUCAUCCCGACUUACCAACCCGAUGCAAACUGCGAAUACCGGAGAAUGUUAUCACGGGAGACACACGGCGGGUGCUAACGUCCGUCGUGAAGAGGGAAACAACCCAGACCGCCAGCUAAGGUCCCAAAGUCAUGGUUAAGUGGGAAACGAUGUGGGAAGGCCCAGACAGCCAGGAUGUUGGCUUAGAAGCAGCCAUCAUUUAAAGAAAGCGUAAUAGCUCACUGGUCGAGUCGGCCUGCGCGGAAGAUGUAACGGGGCUAAACCAUGCACCGAAGCUGCGG